ACAAAAGGAAACUCACAGGGGAACCGCCGCACCAUCGUGGACGCCUCUUCUCUCCGCCUCGAUCGCAUCGAGCCGCCGCCCCCAUCGCAUCCAGCCGUCCCGCCUUGAGGACGCCGCCCCCAUCGCCUCGAUCUGCCGCCCCUCAGAUCUUCGUAUAGCCCCCACCCAUCGCCACGCCUGGCCUCGGCCGUCGGCGACGCCGUCGGUGAAGCCGCCUCCUACACCGCCUGGCUGACCAUCCAUCAGGGACGCCGCCUCCUACACCGCCUGGCUGACCAUCCAUCAGGGACGCCGCCUCCUACACCGCCUGGUCCGCCGUCCGCCGGGGACAUCGCCUGGUCCGCAGACCGUCGGGGACGCCGCCUGGCCAACCGUUGGGGAGGGGGAGGAGUCGCCUAAAAGGCCUUGCGGGCCGUCGGGGACGCCGCCUUGCCGGCCGUCGGGGACGCUGCCUAAACCGCCCUCUGUUCACAUCUCCCCCUCAUCUCGCAUAGUCAGGGGACGAGCUGCCUUCAAACACGCAGCGGCCGGGCCGGAGAUGAAAAAUGGUCAUUCGGGGUGCUUCUCCGUCACGAUUAGGGAAUUGUUCCCAGUUUUUCGUGCAAUGUAGCUAUCCUGGAUAUGCCUCUUUUCCAUUCAUCCAGCGGUGGAGAUGUGAAGUGGUGAACCACAUGGGAAGCUGGCUGGUUGGAACUAUCUACAUCUCAGAUGCCAGGCAAAAGAUGGACAAAGCAGCGCAUGAACGAGUAUUCAACUGGCACGGAGGGGAUCAAGCAUUCCUUUGUUGUCUUGUGCAAUCAGCCUUCAGGAAGGAACCACAAUUGAUCUUGUGCAGUUCAAGACUCGCCUCAAGCGUCGCUGUAACAGUUCCUAGGCACUUGGCAGCUGGCCCAACUAUGAUGCAAUGCAACUCAGCAUAUAGCUUCCUGGACACCCACAGACUUAGUUGUUAAGGCUGUUAUUACUGUAAUCAGGCACUACGUACGACCAUAUGGGAAUGCUUUUUUAUCUUCUUUCUUUGCUCGCAAAUUUGGUCAUUUGGAUAGCACAUUAUCAAGUGGUCUUACUUAAAGUCCAAUAUAAUAUGAGAUACAAGAGGAGGUCGUUCAGAAAA